UCCAGCAGUAGUCAACUGCCUAAAUUGCCUGUACCUAGGAAAGUGUUACACUGCUGGCAGGAAAGCAGCCAACAGCUGGCGGACAUU
rnacentral:snoRNA from 1 species